GACGAAGGUGGCGAGCGUUGCUCGGAAUUACUGGGCUUAAAGAGGGCGUAGGCGGUUCGGUCGGUCGGGUGUGAAAGCCCUUGGCUCAACCAAGGAACGGCACCCGAUACUGCCGGGCUUGAGGUGCUUAGGGGCGACUGGAACUCUCGGUGGAGCGGUGAAAUGCGUAGAUAUCGAGAGGAACGCCAAUGGUGAAGACAGGUCGCUAGGAGCAUCCUGACGCUGAGGCCCGAAAGCCAGGGGAG
rnacentral:rRNA from 1 species